rnacentral:rRNA from 1 species
AUGUCUGUUGGUGUGUUAGCAUGGAAUAUCAGGGGGCUUAACAACCCCGCUAGACGUAACUCCGUUCAUUUAUUUCUGCAAUCAUGCAAUAUUUCCCUUGUUUGUCUCCAAGAAUCCAAAUUGGACAGGGUGGAUGCUGUGGUAGUUGGCCAAAUUCUGGGCCCGACUUUCGAUGGUUUCGACUUCCUUCCUAUGGUGGGUACUAGAGGGGGAAUCCUUCUAGCUUGGAAGAAGGACAGUUUGUCUGUCCCUGAUGUUCAUAAGGGAGAAUUCUCGAUCACAAUCAAGGUUUCUUCCUUGUCAGAUGGGAAAGUCUGGAUGGUGACUUCGGUAUAUGGACCUCAAGAGGAUGAUGACAAGAUCAUGUUCCUGGAGGAGAUUCAGGGGUUGGGUACUAAUAUUCAGCUCCCAUGGAUUGUUAAUGGUGAUUUUAAUUUGGUUUGUGAGGCGGGGGAGCACAGUUCACACAGGUUUAACAGAAGAUUGGCAAAUAAAUUCAGGCACACUAUCAACUCCUUGGGUUUGCAUGACAUGCCGAUGUUGGGGAGGAGGUUCACUUGGUGCAAUAAUCAAGAAACUCAGUGA